AUUGAACGCUGGCGGCAGGCCUAACACAUGCAAGUCGAGCGAGCGGCGAACGGGUGAGUAACGCGUAAUCAACCUGCCCUUCAGAGGGGGACAACAGUUGGAAACGACUGCUAAUACCGCAUAAUGACAGAGGGGAUUGCGUGUGAUUAGCUAGUUGGAGGGGUAACGGCCCACCAAGGCGAUGCACAGUAGCCGGUGUGAGAGGAUGAACGGCCACAUUGGGACUGAGACACGGUCCAGACUCCUACGUGAGGCAGCAGUGGGGAAUAUUGGACAAUGGGCGAAAGCCUGAUCCAGCCAUGCCGCGUGUGUGAAGAAGGUCUUCGGAUUGUAAAGCACUUUAAGUUGGGAGGCGUUACCAACAGAAUAAGCACCGGCUAACUUCGUGCCAGCAGCCGCGGUAAUUC
rnacentral:rRNA from 1 species